rnacentral:lncRNA from 1 species
GGUUAAGCAUUCUUACUCCGUUUGACAGAGAGGGGAGCUGGGGCCCAGUGAGAGCCAGUCCCUGUCUUACCUCCCGCGCCCCUGCCUUUAGAAGGAAAGUAUCUCCAGGGCACUCUUGGGGCAGGACGCCACACUCGCUGGGACCGUCGGGACCCCAGUGCCUUUACCCACGAGCCCGCCGGGGAACCAAGUCCCAAAGCGGGAAAGAGGCGACCUGGAUCUGGGUCCCUUUGUCUCCCCCACAGCCCAGUGCGGGGACUCAGCACACUCAGCUGAAUCCCGAACACCUCAAGGCAGGAGUCUGCACUUCACGCCAGGCCAUUUCUGUCUCUACCGUAAAGUCGUCACGGUCGCCAUAUUGACGUCAGGUUUCUAUGGCAACCAUGCCACGCAGGCUUAUCCUCCACACCGGAAACCCCUCCGCAUGCUCCUCCUCCCCUACGCCUUUAGCUGAACGCAAAACUUCUUCGCUCUUCAGGCUGCGGUCUGAGAAAGCAGGCUAUGAGAGGCGCUAGACUGGAAUCCUGGCAAUUGGAAUGACUUACUCAAGUAGUGAGAUUGGAAGGAGAAACAAAUUACAGAGCCCCGGACCUCUGCCUUCAAAACUCUUGUUGAUAAGUUGCCUUUAUGGAGCACCUGUUCUGCUUUGCCCUCGGAGGUAACUCAUCCCAUUACUCAGAACUGGCACCAAAGCAAAUACAUUAUGGGGAUAUUGCUACAUUUCCAGAUGCUUUCUAUGGCACUUAUGCUCUUUGGUUUAGGUCAGUGUCAUCUCCUCUCUGGGAGGGAGGAGGCUGGUGGGCCAGGACUGAUAGGUGUUGAAGUCCUACCGUGUCCCAUAUGUACCUUACAGGUCUUCUCAUUUACACCUCAGGGCAGACUGUGAGAAAGGUAUCAUGAGUUCCACGUCACAGAUAACCAAGCUCAGCCUCAUGGAGACUAAGACCCUCACCAGAAAAUGGCAGGUUGGAUGAGGUUCUGACUCUUGCCCUCCCCACAGUAUAACCAUCAGCUUCCCAUUUAGAAGGUGAUAGUUUUAUACUUCCCCGGCAUUGUCUCCUCAUGAGUACAUACUCAACAACCUCUUUUGUUCAGGAAGAGAGGUGAUUAAAUCUUUCCCCUUGGGCCAAGAAGCCUAGCUGUGGGGUCACAUGAAUUGACUGGUCCCUGAGGUCUCUCCCACACCCAGUGAUCCCAUUCCACUGACAUCAGGCACAGGCAUGUGACUAGAUGUGGCCAAUGAAAUGUAAGAGGAAAUGGAGUGUGCCCCUUCCAAGCAGAAGUGUUAAGACUCAUUGAGAGUUUCCACCAGUACUCUUUUUCCCUCUGCUUCAGCAAUGUCCCAGAUUUCUUGUGAGGUAGUUUAACUUGUUUAAUCCUCCAGUAACACUAGAAUAUGAGAAUUUAAAUGAUGAUAGGAAUGCUUGGGAAAAGGGAAGCUAAAUGGCUUAUAUGCUUAUACCCAAAUUUGGCCUACUAGAUGAUCAAUUCAAGUCUUAUGCCCUAAAACUGAGUCAGUAGCCAGGAGAAAGUACGUGUCUUACUUAACAUCAUGUAGAAAAUAGUCAGGGACCAAUGUUUUCUUCCUUUUGCUCCAUUGCUUUCUCCAGAAGACUCAUCAUCAUGCCUUCUACUUCUCUUGGAAUUUGUGUUCACUGUGCCACAAGAUGAACUCAGAUACCAAGUUAGUAGGCACUCCUGAUGUGAACUCUCCAGGAGCACCCCAAAAGAGGUCAGUAAAGGUACACUGAUUCCAUGGAAACAGUGUAACAACUUUUCCCCUAUCCCACUUCCAUUAGAUAAGUCUACAACACAGAAGUGG